CGGGGGGGCGAGCGUUGUUCGGAAUUACUGGGCGUAAAGGGUUUGUAGGUGGCUUGUUAAGUCAGACGUGAAAUCCCUCAGCUUAACUGGGGAACUGCGUCUGAUACUGAUGAGCUUGAGUGCAGGAGAGGAACGCGGAAUUCCAGGUGUAGCGGUGAAAUGCGUAGAUAUCUGGAGGAACACCGGUGGCGAAGGCGGCGUUCUGGACUGCAACUGACACUGAAAAACGAAAGCCAGGGGAGCAAACGGGAUUAGAUACCCCGGUAGUCCUGGCCCUAAACCAUGAAUGCUUGGUGUGGCGGGUAUCGAUCCCUGCCGUGCCGAAGCUAACGCAUUAAGCAUUCCGCCUGGGGAGUACGGUCGCAAGGCUG
rnacentral:rRNA from 1 species